rnacentral:lncRNA from 1 species
GAUGAAAAUAAAUCAUUUAAAGUGCAUUUUCUUACCUAGAAAUGUCUUUUGUUUGGCAGAAUGAUUAAAAUAACUGUCACUUAUUCACUUAGGAAAAUAAAAGUAGUUGAAGGGGAGAAUAACUUUAUAAAGUGAUAUUUUCAGCAGCAAGGGUGGCCUCUUUUUCUUCUCUUCAACACAAUUAUUUCUAGUUAAUUUUACUGAGGGAGGGAAUUUCAUGAAUUUUGUACUCUGUAUUUAGUGACCAAUAUGUUUCUCAAGGUGCUAAUUUUCUGUUAAUGAGCAAUUGCUGUGGUUGGUUGGCAUUAUAAACUGAAGUUUAUAAACUACUUUAAAAAAUUAGUUAAAAUAUCUGAUUGUGAUCCUACCAGAAGGUAACAUUAGAAACCUAUUGAAAUGAUCCGUAGCUUUAUUUUUAUGGCUCAGGAAAAUUUUUUGUUUUGUUUUAAUAAGCAGUUUCUUUGCAAAUUAAGAUAUUUUUAAAUUGUCGGGAUAAAUAUAAUGGGGACUAUUCUCAUACAUUCAUACAUACUAAAAACUGCUUUAGGCAAUUUUUUGAAAAUAUUUCCACAUUAUAUGCAAGCUUUGGAAAACAGGAACCACCGCUAUAAGCAUAUCUGCUAUGUUAGAACAUGAAGCAAAGGUUAAUUUCCAAUUUAA